rnacentral:rRNA from 1 species
GACGAACGCUGGCGGCGUGCUUAACACAUGCAAGUCGAGCGGAGCGGCGAACGGGUGAGUAACGCGUGAGUAACUGCCCCCCUCUCUGGGAUAACAGUUGGAAACGGCUGCUAAUACCGGACAGUGGGGGAUGACUCGCGUCCUAUCAGCUUGUUGGUGGGGUAGUGGCCUACCAAGGCGACGACGGGUAGCCGGCCUGAGAGGGCGACCGGCCACAUUAGGCUGAGAUACGGCCCAAUGUCCUACGGGAGACAGCGGUGGGAAAUAUUGCGCAGUGGGGGAAACCCUGAUGCGGCGACGCCGCGUGCGGAAUGACGGCCUUCGGGUUGUGAACCGCUUUCAGCCAUGACGCGGUAGUGGCAGAAGAAGCACCGGCUAACUACGUGCCAGCAGCCGCGGUAAUAC